GGCCUCCGGGUGCUUACACAGGCUGUGUUCUUACACUGACUGUCUAGAAAGAAGAGGCAGAGUAAACCUACCCCAUAUACACCUCAGCCCAGGCCUGUGCCUAAAUAAAGAAUCUCACUCUAUCUUUAGAUUUCUUGAGGGAAACUUC
ensembl:snoRNA